CUCCUUACUCUUCCCUGUUUUCUCGAUCGAAGACACCUCUGUUUCUCGAUGAAUUUCGUUUUCAAAUCUCUACUCUCGCUCAGUUUUUCUAGUCCACAUCUCUCAAAAUUAGAAAAUCUUUUUUUCUUUCUUUCUUUUUUUUUUUUUUUUCGUGGUUUAAAAAAUCAAUUGGAAUCUGAUUUGAAGAAUAUGAAGAAAGCAAUGGAUGGGUGAUGAUGGAUCUCAAAUGAUCAAAAUUCAUAACCUUUAUUAUCGCUACGUUCUUUCUGAUUCUUAAACUCUAUAUUCUUCCUUUUCGUUUUCUUUCUUGGAUUGUUUUUUCUUGAUUAUUAAGGUUUGAAUUCGAUGAAGAAGAAGAAAGGUAAAUGAUGAAAAAGAGAAAAUCUUAGGACACCUUCUGACACAGAUAAGGUUUCUGUGUAUGAGAAAGAUUUUCGCUUCUGAUACUUCUUUUUCUUUCUCUUCAAUUAAUCUUCUGAUUUUUGUAUACUGCAACAAAGGUAUCUGAGGCUUUAAAUUUACACAUUGUAUGUUGGUAAAUGGUCGCAGGCUUUCUUCCCCAAAGAGUCUCUGUCAAAGAAAUCUCUUAUCUUAUCUGUUUAUUUUGAGUGCAGACACAUUCUCAGCGUUACUCGAAAAAGCAUAGAAUGAAGGCAGAAUAUGAGGCCUCAAGAUUGACUAUGAAUCCAUUAGGCCAGUCCAUCAAUCUCGGAAAAUCAUCUGUAAUUUUUUUUAGAGGAGUUAGCACACAUAAGAAGCAGCAAUUGGCGGAUCAAUUGGGGGUAAAAGUUGCGGAAGUCAGAAAGUAUCUUGGUGGGGUAGUCAGGAGAAAGAGAGAAAGAUAUACCAGACAAGAUGCUCAACACAAUGUUCAAGUAAGUAUAUGGAAGGUUUAGAUUUCCAGGAUUUUCGUUGUUUCAAUAAGAUUAUAUUAUCCAAGCAAGCCUGGAUAUUGGUAUCCUCUCCUGAUUCCCUUUCAUCUAAAUUACUGAAGCUUGGGUCUCU